GAGUCGUUGCGAGGACGCAAUUAUUAAUGCUCGUCCUCGCAGCGCUAAAAACACUUUCCCAUUAAUUUCGCGCCUGAAAAGCGAAGCUGCGAUUUCAUUCCGGGUAAAAAACACAGGACUCGCACUUCGCUCGCAUGCUGUGCUUUAAAGAAAGGCCAAAUAACGAUAUUCAGCACUGUAAAGGGCAAAUUAGAGCGAGCUUUUGAUUAGGAUAUAUCAAGCAUCGCACUUACUAGAUAACAACAGCAGCACCUUGUGAAAUACAACUCCAGGGGCGGGAAAACCCGCACAUCGUUCACACACCUAAAGAAGUUUUCCUGCGUCCGGACUCUUAAACUCGGCAGUACUAUAGCAGUAUUAGGGAAACGCGUGCAUCCUCUUCUGCAGCAGCAGCGACAGCACCGCCACUGCCACCCACUCAGCUGCCCUCCGAGAGAGGGCAUGUGAAGAGGAGCUUCGUUCGAUCGACCCGAGCAGCACUGCUGCCUCGGUCGGGUCGCGCUGCGACAUCAGCAGUCGCGCGCGCGCCGCUGCCCCUCGAGCACCAGCUGCUGCUCCGAAUAACGUACCAGCGCUCUCAACUGACUUCGAUUCUCUCGCGGAGUUGGACAUCCCGCACGCACCGCAUCGGCUCUAUGACUGCGAGAUGACGAGCUAGAGUUUGCCUUUGUCAUUUUGCGCUCGAGUCAGCGACGAGGAGACGAGAGAACUAGAGAGGCAUUGCCGAGGACGCUGCGGCUUUCAGUGCCGCAGGGAGUUCACUCCGGGGCGGGAGUCGUACGAACCGCCGUCGUAUUGUAGUGUCGCUCUCAGUAUACUCGCUGUAUUGUACCGCUUAGUACAUAGACGAUAUGGUGCGCGGAAGCGAGAGGUUCCGCGGGAAAACGUAAGGGUCGAAAGGGCGAGCGCGACAAGCAUCAGGGAAUAUGUUGCUCGAAGUAGUGCUGGCGGAAGAAGGAGGCAACAGCGCCGAGCAUCAGUCAUUCCCGAUGCAGCCGUCGUCAGUCGCGGAGCACUCGAGAAAAUCGCUGGCGAAAUAACUGAGGUUGGCCUGGGGCUGCUCCGUCAGUGUCAUACCCGCAGCUCGAUUUUCCCCGGCGAGCCUAGGAUACCUCCCAGCCGAACAGCGCUGAACCAACGGAUCCACAGUUUGUGUGCAACCUUUGUGUUUGUGUCUUGGUGCGCGCGACUAUGGUCGGGACCUUUUAUCUCACUACCCUGCUGCUCUUUCUCGUGAAAACAGAUGCGCUCGAGGAGAACUGCACCGACUUCCAGGGUGGCACGGUGAGGCACGGACUGCUCUACGUCCCGGGACCGGCCGUCUGCAGCCUCUGCGUCUGCUACCACUCGGAGCCAAUGUGGUGUCAGGCCAUUUAUUGCACGCCGCCCUACAAAUGCAAGAGGUUCCGCGUAGGCGAGCGCUGCUGCGAGUUUGAGUGCCUCGACGGCACCGACGCAGCGGCAGACUGGAACGAGCCCGACCUGAUCAUAGCCGCAGGCUCGACGUCCGUCCAUCAACAGCGACAGCGAGAACUGCUGCCGCUGCUGCUGGGCUUGGGGCUGAUGCUAUCGCUCGCGUUAACGACGCUUCGAGCGCUCGGCAUACACGUCCCGGCCUCCUAACUCUUAUUGUCCCUCGAGAGACUUAUGCUGCUGCUGCCGGCUCCGAGUGCUUCCCAACUGUCAACCCGGCUGGAUUUGGCGAAAAUUAUCGUUACGUGAACGGGUGUCGAAGAGCCGACCCGAGCGCUUCAGCGGUAAUAGACACUAUAUACAGCGCAUGCCAUAUCCCCGAUCGAGUAGCAGAGGAGCGCAUGCAACGCGAAGCAGCUAGCCAGUCGUCGGAGAAAUCAGCGGCCGCCGUAGCGGAGGAUUAUUAAAAGUCUGUGUGUAGCACGUGCAUCCCUUGACGCUCGCGAUACAUCACCGCCGGCGUGCUAUGAAAAGUGAGCGAGGCAACUGACGCCCACGAGCGCGGGAGCGAGAAGUCAACUGCUUGAAAGUCUUUCCAGCGGAUGGUUUUACUGCAGCGCUUUUCACUGUGUACCCCGUUUAUCGCUGCUUAGAAUACCUAUAUGCGCUACUUUAGCGGUGGCCGCUACGAUACAUAUAAUACAAAUAUAUAUAUAUAGGUACUAUAAUAAUAAUUAUACGAUGUGGAGUGAUUUUUUCAAACGUGAUGUACAGGCGCGUGCGUACAAGAUAUGUAGAUUUUUUUAUCGGUUUACGCGUGUAGCUUUUUGCGGGAGAGAGAACGAGUUUGUAAAAGGUGAUUUGUUAUAGAAGGCCGAUGAGUAAACUGCUCUUUGACACUUUGAUUCAUAUAUAUACGCGCCGCGCAGUGCGCGGGCACCCCGAGAUAUACGCUAUAGUGUGUAUAUAUAUACGACGGGAAUCCGUGAAUUAUAGGAUUUUAAACUUAUCUAGCAACGCUGCAAAUUGGCAAUUUCUCAUUUUCAAUGGUUCCUUUAACACGUAUCGAAAUUUAUGUGCUCUGGUAUUCAGAUUGAUUAACUAUUAACCAACUGGCAAAAAAACAAUGAUUCUUGUGAUAAAACAGCAUCUCCCCAAGGAUUGUAUAUUCGCUAUAUUUUAUUUCAAGAAAAAGGAUUACUCUUAUAAUAGUUAUUUUAUUACUAUUUGAAUAAUGUAUGAUAAUAUUUGAAAUGAGUUCUAUCGUUUAUUAUUAUUAUUAUUACUUCAAUGGCAUGCACAAUUUCGACGGUAGACCACGAGUCCGAGCUGUCCAAAAAUGUGCUCGGAAAAAUCACAUUACGUCCAAUCAAUAAAUACGUUUUGGGAAUUGUAGAUGGGAAACUUGUUUUAGCGAUUACUAUUAUUGAGUCAUAGUGAACAAGUUAUUCGUGUAUGUGGUUAAGGCAAUAAUCCUGCAAAUAAUAUAAAAUUUUAUCCUGCAAAUACGAAACCAAACAAUUGAAAAAUAUGGAAGCAUACGAUGUUUUUCUGGAUACCUUUCACUUAUUUAACAACGUAAAUAUUUCGAUUUUUGUAUAUUUAUGUUAUAGUUCAAUCUUUAGAUUUAUUUAGAAACAAAAACAAAACAGUUGAAUUAAAAUUAAUUUUUUAUAAGACAAUUAAAGUCCGCCUUUAUUAUGAUGUACACGAUUUAUGAUAUAUUAAGAUUGAAUAAUCAAAUUUAAGUGAAAAUGCUCUCUAAAUUUACUUGUUUUAUCGUAAACCAAUUCUAAGAAGUUUUUGUGUUAUAUCUUGAAAAAUAGUGUUCUAAUAGAAACAUCGAAAUUUUCUCUUAUGCUUAAAAAAUGAAAAUACUUAAGACGAAACGAUUUGGAAAAUUUUACUAAUAAAUUCAAAAAAUAUUUUUUAAUUUUCACGCCAAAAUAAUGCAAGACAUAUAAUAAUGGCUUAAAAACUGCGCGCUCCCAUUUUUGAAAUAGUAUUUUAUCCACUUCGACGCAUUAUAGCAAUUAGAGGAGCUCCUUUUUUAUUAAAUGUUCUUCUAUAGACGUUUAAAUUUUAAAAUCGGCGAGCUUUUAAAAUUUUUAAAAAGGUUAAAUUUCUUUGUUCAAAAAGUGAAGAAAUCCACAUAUUUUUAAUGUUUAUAUACAUACAUAUAUUUACCGAUGUCACAUAUAUGUACAUUAAUGUUGUAAACUAUUUAUCAACGAAUCAAAUUUCCAAUGAGUGCGUCAAUAUUUUAUUUCCUUUGAUUUAGUAGAAUAUAUUUUAAAGAUAUUAAUAAAAUGAUACUUAUAGAAUAGAAUAAACGAUUGUAGCCUAAUGGAAAAAACGUUUCUAUGUAGAUGAAACUUUCAAAUCUGCAUAAACAUUAAACAUAUCAUUUGCAAACUGAUCGUACGCAGAGAGUAAUAUAAUACAUAAAAUUUAUAAUCUAUACUACAUUACUAUAUUAACUAUAUACAUUACACAAAAAAUACGUAGCCUCAUUUAUUGCUUAGAAACAUAAAAAAGAAAAGUAUUCAUAAUUACUGAAAAACACGCAUCGUCACACGACAUUUAAUUAGUCUCCUCAUGCUCUUCUAAAUUAAACUCUACUAAAUUAAAAUUUUAAGUUACAAGUAAUCUCUACUAUAAAAUUCUUAUUGUACUUGUCAUUGUAUAAAUAAAUAAUUGUGAUAAUAUAUACAGCUACAGAUUUUUUGUACCAUGAAAUACAACAUAUUGCGAGAAAAAAUGUUAGCUUCUUUAUUUUUAUGUGGCAGGAAUAAUCCAAUCUCGAUGUUGGAAUAAUAAUAACAAAAUAUAGGUGCAUAUGCUAUUAUAGUUAGGUAGCAGAUGAAUUUAAUACAAGAAAAAAUGGAGUCUGUAUGGGCUUCUGUACGAAAGUGCACGAAAGAUACAGUAGUUAAAUAUAUAAUAAACAAACAGAAUAGCGGGUUUAUUUUGCAUAUUUUAUCAUAAAACACGUACCAUGCAUGUUGUAUGUACGAUACAUUGAUUAACGAGAGGGUUAAAGUGGACUCAAUUUUCAUAACCGUGCAAAAUAUCAAGCAAACGCUUAAUCGAACAUAGCCUCGGAUCCGAAAAGUGCUUAUAUUUGUGCGCGUGUGCUCUUGCAUUUGUAUAUUUGAAGAACACCCUCGUGAUUAUGAUCCAUAAUCACUUCCUCUCAUUUCUUACUGGCAAUCUGUAGAUAUCGUAGGCGAGUGCAAUCAACUUUUCUCUUAAAAGAAAAUAUAUCGAGCCAAUAUACGAGUAUUGAUAGAAUAGCGCAUGUAUCUGCAUUUGUUUAUUGCUCGUAUUUCCUAAAUCAGCAAAAUUGUAUAAAGUUUUUUUAUACGUGAUGUAAUUUUUGCAAUGUAAAUUAUCAGUGUAGAUUUAUUUGUAUAAAAAUACAAUAUAGAUAAUAUAUAGAUGCAGCAAUGAUUUUUCUUUAUGCAGUAUUAAGUUUUGAUAUAUAUUCAGUCUAAAGCAUUGCUGCCUUUCGUAUUACAAGCGAUAAUUAUGAAAGUUUGGUAUUUCAAAUUUAUUAAGGAUUCAAAAUUGGCUUUUCUUUACUCAUGUGUCGUAAUAUCGCUUGGCUAUUCGCAUUUAUCUUGAUACAUGUUACAAUGGAAGCUUCACUUAUGAUUCAACAUGACAUAAAUACAUGGGAAGUCUGUUAAAGAUACCCUCAAGCGUUAGAAGUACCUGUGAAAUUUGUCAUGACCCAAACAAUGAAUUGCGUCAUAAACAAUAAUUAAAUCUUUAACACAUUAUUAAUAAUAUUACCUGUCGUUUGAUCAUCAAGUGGCCUUUUAUGUAAAAUAAAAUCAUUGUAAAUUUAUUGUAGAAUAAACAGUUAUACUUUACCAACAGUAAAAAUAUCAAUGUUACUCAAA